GAUCCUAUCCCUGGGCAGGCUCACAGGGAUAUUGGUAUCCACAGUACUCCACCAAUUAAACAUUUCUUCCCUGACCCCUGCUGCUGUGUCUUUCUCUGGGGCUGAUGACACCACUCUGCUGUUCGAGGGACGCUUCGAGUGUGGCAACUUGCUGAAAGCAACAAGAGUUGGUGAAUUUGAUUACGAGCUCUCUCUGUGCACCAACCUGUACACGGAGAAGCACACUCAGUGGUUCUACUUCCAGGUGAGGAACACCCGUGUGUAGGCGCGUUACCGCUUCAACAUCGCCAAACUGCUGAAGGUGACCAGCAUGUAUGAGGAGGGGAAGCUGCCCCUGCUCUACUCUGAGGAGAAGACCCAGGUCCAGGGGGUGGGCUGGCAUCUUGUGGCUCAACAGGCCUCCUACCAAUGUAACGGGCACCAGCACACCAACCAGCCCUGCUACACCCUCUCCUGGAUCUUCUGCUUCCCUUACUACCAAGUAAAGAACAUGAGAGAACGUGCUCCAGCACUCGAGC